UAAGGAAUAUUGCUCAAUGGGAGAAAUCCUGAAGCAGCAACGCCGCGUGGAGGAUGAAGGGUCUAUGACUUGUAAACUCCUGUAAAGAAGGAAAAAAUUCCCAUUUGAUGGGAGAUGAUGGUACUUCUGGAGUAAGCCCCGGCUAACUACGUGCCAGCAGCCGCGGUAAUACGUAGGGGGCAAGCGUUGUCCGGAUUUACUGGGUGUAAAGGGUGCUCAGGCGGAUUUGUAAGUCAGAGGUGAAAUCUUACAGCUUAGCUGUGAAACUGCCUUUGAUACUGCAAGCCUAGAGUAUGGAAGAGAGUGAUGGAAUAUCUGGUGUAGCAGUGAAAUGCGUAGAUAUCAGAUAGAACACCAAUGGCGAAGGCAGUCACUUGGUCCAUUACUGACGCUAAAGCACGAAAGCGUGGGUAGCAAACA
rnacentral:rRNA from 1 species